UGGGGAAUAUUGGACAAUGGAGGGAACUCUGAUCCAGCAAUUCUGUGUGUGUGAAGAAGGUUUUAGGACUGUAAAACACUUUUAGUAGGGCAGAAAAAAAUGACGGUACCUACAGAAGAAGCAACGGCUAAAUACGUGCCAGCAGCCGCGGUAAUACGUAUGUUGCGAGCGUUAUCCGGAAUUAUUGGGCUUAAAGGGCAUCUAGGCGGUAAGACAAGUUGAAGGUGAAAACCUGUGGCUCAACCAUAGGCUUGCCUACAAAACUGUUGAACUAGAGUACUGGAAAGGUGGGUGGAACUACACGAGUAGAGGUGAAAUUCGUAGAUAUGUGUAGGAAUGCCGAUGAUGAAGAUAACUCACUGGACAGAAACUGACGCUGAAGUGCGAAAGCUAGGGGAGCAAACAGG
rnacentral:rRNA from 1 species